AACGGUUCUCAGGCUCUUGGCUAAGGUCAAGUGUAGUACCUGUCCUUCUCGCCUUCGGUAUCUGAUACAUUCUCUAGUCGAGGACGGCAUACUAAAUGGGCUUAUUGGGGCUGGGAAGUGGGACCAAGGGCUCGCUCCGUCCAUUUCGUGCGUCAGUAUUACCAGAAUCCGUGCGCGCUUUCC
ensembl:snRNA U2 U2 spliceosomal RNA